rnacentral:rRNA from 1 species
CCGCGAGAAAUCGCGGCUAAUACCGAAUAAUGCAGCGGCACCUAAUGGUGACAGUUGUUAAAGCGGGGGAUCGCAAGACCUCGCGUCUAAAGAGGAGCCUGCGGCGGAUUAGCUAGUUGGUAAGGUAACGGCUUACCAAGGCGAUGAUCCGUAGCCGGCCUGAGAGGGCGGUCGGCCACACUGACACUGACAUACGGGUCAGACUCCUACGGGAGGCAGCAGUCGGGAAUUUUGGGCAAUGGGCGAAAGCCUGACCCAGCAACGCCGCGUGAAGGAUGAAAUCCCUCGGGAUGUAAACUUCGCAAGAACGGGAAGAAUAAGUUGGUGUGAAUAUCACCAGCGAUGACGGUACCGUUUGUAAGCUCCGGCUAACUCCGUGCCAGCAGCCGCGGUAAUACGGGGGGAGCAAGCGUUGUUCGGAUUUACUGGGCGUAAAGGGCGCGUAGGCGGCCACCGCAAGUCGAUUGUGAAAUCUCCGGGCUUAACUCGGAAAGGUCAACCGAUACUGCGGGGCUAGAGUGCAGAAGGGGCAACUGGAAUUCUCGGUGAAGCGGUGAAAUGCGUAGAUAUCGAGAGGAACACCUGCGGCGAAGGCGGGUUGCUGGGCUGACACGGACGCUGAGGCGCGAAAGCUAGGGGAGCGAACGGGAUUAGAUACCCCGGUAGUCCUAGCCUUAAACGAUGGAUGCUUGGUGUCUGGGGUUUUAUAGUCCCCGGGUGCCGUCGCUAACGCUUUAAGCAUCCCGCCUGGGGAGUACGGUCGCAAGACUGAAACUCAAAGGAAUUGACGGGGACCCGCACAAGCGGUGGAGCAUGUGGUUUAAUUCGACGCAACGCGAAGAACCUUACCUGGGCUAGAAUGCCCGUGACAGCCCCAGAGAUGGGGUCUCCUGGGUAAAACCAGGCACGGUGCAAGGUGCUGCAUGGCUGUCGUCAGCUCGUGUCGUGAGAUGUUGGGUUAAGUCCCGCAACGAGCGCAACCCUUAUCAAUAGUUGCCAGCGGUUCGGCCGGGCACUCUAUUGAGACUGCCGUUGACAAAACGGAGGAAGGUGGGGAUGACGUCAAGUCCUCAUGGCCUUUAUGUCCAGGGCUACACACGUGCUACAAUGGCGAGUACAAAGCGCUGCAAAAGAGCAAUCUGGAGCCAAUCGCAAAAAGCUCGUCUCAGUUCGGAUUGGAGUCUGCAACUCGACUCCAUGAAGCUGGAAUCGCUAGUAAUCGCAGAUCAGCAUGCUGCGGUGAUACGU